AUUGAACGCUGGCGGCAGGCCUAACACAUGCAAGUCGAGCGGAUGAGUGGAGCUUGCUCCAUGAUUCAGCGGCGGACGGGUGAGUAAUGCCUAGGAAUCUGCCUGGUAGUGGGGGACAACGUUUCGAAAGGAACGCUAAUACCGCAUACGUCCUACGGGAGAAAGUGGGGGAUCUUCGGACCCCACGCUAUCAGAUGAGCCUAGGUCGGAUUAGCUCGUUGGUGAGGUAAAGGCUCACCAAGGCGACGAUCCGUAACUGGUCUGAGAGGAUGAUCGGUCACACUGGAAAUGAGACACGGUCCAGACUCCUACGGGAGGCAGCAGUGGGGAAUAUUGGACGAUGGGAGAAAGCCUGAUCCAGCCAUGCCGCGUGUGUGAAGAAGGUCUUCGGAUUGUAAAGCACUUUAAGUUGGGAGGAAGGGCAGUAAGUUAAUACCUUGCUGUUUUGACGUUACCAACAGAAUAAGCACCGGCUAACUUCGUGCCAGCCGCCGCCGUAACAC
rnacentral:rRNA from 1 species